GAAAUAUCAUUAAAACAAAUCUGAAACAUAAUGUCUUUCUGAUCCCACGUCUCUUUAUUAUUUAUGCCAUGUUUUUUUUUUCUUGUCAUCCUUUAUUUGAGCACUGAGAAGACAUCACCCCCACUACUACCACCUGGAAGCAGUAAUGGUUUCAUCUGCUGAGCUAACCUAGCCCUGCCAGAGAAGCAUUUGUGCUAUUGCUUACAAGUUAGCCACAAUACCCAUGGUGUUUUGUUUCCAUCAAGGUAUAGGAUUAGUUUGCUGUGCAAGUUGCAUUUAAUGAUAUGUCCUCUUUCUUGUACUCACAGAAGCACAUAUAAUUGAGGUCAUAAAUGAGGAAAACAUUGUCCUAAUUUUUUUUAUUAUCAUUUUUUCUUCUUUUUUUUUUUCUUUCUUUCAUGGAAUCUUAAGGAUGUUCUGCACCUGCAAAGCUGAGUGGGUAUGGUUUGCCAUUCCUUUUGUCAUUUACAAAAUCUGUUCUUAGGUACUGUGGAUAAUUUUGCCAAAUUCCUUAUGUUUGUUGUAGUUCAUUUCACUGUGCAUAAUGCUUUCCUGAUGUAGUGAUAUGAACUGAAGUUGCCUGAAUGAAAACUCAUCAUGCUUUGGAAGUCACUUUUUGAGUAUAACCUCCUGUGAAAUCCUGUGAGAAUGUUUGAAAAUAUUUACAUCAGCAAGAAAAAAUGUUCAUCAAAUGAGGCCUUAUUCUGGGACAACAGGGAAAAUGGAGUAAUUUUUAUUCAUUUUACCACUACAGCUUGGUGUUGGGCUUAUGGAUUAGACCAUUGGGGACUACAAGCAUUGCUGCUAUGUUCUGGCUGUGACUACUCAGAACAAGGGUGCUACAGCUUUAUUAUGUACUGGAAAGAAGCAUCUGCAUUGAAUGGACACUUUGCAACUAUGUAGUUCCUCCUGCCUUCCAGAGAGAAAUGUACUGAGUUUUACCUGCUGCCAUCUCUGUUGUACUGCUACCAUAAAUCAUGCUACUCAGACAGGUUAGCAACAGAUAG